rnacentral:rRNA from 1 species
GUGGGGAAUCUCCCGCAAUGGACGAAAGUCUGACGGAGCAACGCCGCGUGAGUGAUGAAGGUCUUCGGAUUGUAAAGCUCUGUUAAUCGGGACGAAAGAGCCUAGUGUGAAUAAUGCUAGGAAGUGACGGUACCGGAAUAGAAAGCCACGGCUAACUACGUGCCAGCAGCCGCGGUAAUACGUAGGUGGCAAGCGUUGUCCGGAAUUAUUGGGCGUAAAGCGCGCGCAGGCGGAUCUGCCAGUCUGUCUUAAAAGUUCGGGGCUUAACCCCGUGAUGGGAUGGAAACUACAGAUCUAGAGUAUCGGAGAGGAAAGUGGAAUUCCUAGUGUAGCGGUGAAAUGCGUAGAUAUUAGGAAGAACACCAGUGGCGAAGGCGACUUUCUGGACGAAAACUGACGCUGAGGCGCGAAAGCCAGGGGAGCGAACGGGAUUAGAUACCCCGGUAGUCC